GUGGGGAGGGCCAUAGCUCAAAGGUCAGAGCAUUUGCUUUGCAUGCAGAAAGGUCCCAGGUUCAGUCCCCAGUAUUUCUAUG